rnacentral:rRNA from 1 species
GACGAACGCUGGCGGCGUGCUUAACACAUGCAAGUCGUACGGUAAGGCCCUUUCGGGGGUACACGAGUGGCGAACGGGUGAGUAACACGUGAGUAACCUGCCCACAACUUUGGGAUAACGCUAGGAAACUGGUGCUAAUACUGGAUAUGUGCUCCUGCUGCAUGGUGGGGGUUGGAAAGCUCCGGCGGUUGUGGAUGGACUCGCGGCCUAUCAGCUUGUUGGUGGGGUAGUGGCCUACCAAGGCGGCGACGGGUAGCCGGCCUGAGAGGGUGACCGGCCACAUUGGGACUGAGGUACGGCCCAGACUCCUACGGGAGGCAGCAGUGGGGAAUAUUGCACAAUGGGCGCAAGCCGGAUGCAGCAACGCCGCGUGCGGGAUGACGGCCUUCGGGUUGUAAACCGCUUUCAGCAGGGACGAAGCUUUUUGUGACGGUACCUGCAGAAGAAGCACCGGCUAACUACGUG